rnacentral:lncRNA from 1 species
UGGGUGGUGGGUGGGACAGGGCUUCUACCUGUGCAUUUAACAGGUGUGUGUGUGUGUGUGUGUGUGCAUGCACAUGUGCACACACAUGUGCACACGUAUGCACAUGUAUGUGUAGGUCAGAGUUGCAUAUCAGGUGUCUUCUUCAGUUGCUCUUUAUCUUAUUUUCUGAGACGGGGUCUCUUGAGGAACAGUAAACCAUGCCAGGAAGCUUGGUGGGUAGAGCAGGUUUGAGACCCUAGACAUUCACUGGGUUCACAUCUAAGAUGGUAGGUGCCUCCCUGCCAAAUUUCUGACCUGGAACACGUGACACACUUCCCACAUAGGAAACAUGUCCUAUGGUCAUGUGGGCCCCGAACAGAGUUCUCCAUAAUAGUGAGACACCUAGAGAACUUGAGGGUAAACCAAUGAGCUUCCCUUCCCUGACUUUCCCCCUGCAAAAGGUAUUUAGUCUCAGGUCCACCCCGAGAAGUUGGUAUGGAACGCAUCCAUUUUCCACUAUGAACAACCAAUAAAUAGUUUGGAAUCAAGGACUGUCUCUUUCAUCAAGAACCACCGUGAGGAGGAUGGAGCAGGCCUUUGCCCACGGAGCCACUGCCUAAGUCUCCCUUAGAAGGUCUCUCUGUGCUCCCUCCCAGCCACAGCUGCAGCCAAGCUAGCCAAGCUAACGACCUUCAGAUGAGCAAAGCCAGGGCUUCCCAUCACUCCCCAGGCCCAGCCUAGUCAUGGUCCUCAGCCUACAGGCUCCCAACUCUGCUCUCGACUCCUCGGAGACUCAGCAGUGCCUGAAGGUCCAGGAAUUUGGGAGCACCGGGUCCUAGCCUCGUCAAGGGCCUGUGAACUCCCAACACUUCGUUCACUCCUUCCGUUCUCCAGCAGCGGCUUUCCCACAUCUCUGACUGCAUUUUCCCACCCCUGGAGUGCUGUCUCAAUGCUUCCCUAAAGCCCAGCACCUGCCCAGUGGCGGCGUGAGCAGUCAAACUCCCUCCAGCAAGGCUGCACCUGCUAAACCUCCGCAAACUGGACCACAGCUGAGGAGGGAGUAUUCAAAUGCAUGGACCCGUGGGGAACAUUCCUCAUUCAAACCGCUACAGACCAGAAUUGUAACCGGAAGCUGACUCAGUACGUUCUGAAGGCACGGUUCUAUCCACAGACGCCAAACAAGUGGCCAGAAUUACCACUCUACCCUGCUCUUGGCCUCCAGCAAGAAUGUACAACUUUCCCCUGAAGAAGCAUGUAUGUUUGGUCACCACUGACGUAAAUCUGGUCUGCACCUAUAGCUUGAUUCAUUGAGAUCCUUUCCUGUCCAAUUGCAUGAUCACCCCGGACGUAAAAAGACACUUUUUCAUCACCGGACCCCUAAAUAGAUGACCCGCCGAUCACAAGGCUUCAUGUAAAUCUUCUUGAUUGCUUUUUUCCCCCCCUUGCUUAUCACUUUCCCUAAAAACCCUGUCAGUUAGUGUAUUUAAAUUCCUUUCUCAUCUCCUCAUUGAGCCGCUAUUUAAAAUAAUGAGUCACAGCUGAAAGGAACGGAAAUAUCCCGGCUGCUUUUAAUAUACACCCUCAAGGACACUUCUUGGGGGAAGUUGGGAAGGAGUACUUCUCAACGAGGCCAAGGCCAAAGGCAAGGACAGGGAUUUCUUCCACGGUUGCCCUAUAGGAGAAGAAGCGGGAUUUGAACUUCUCACUGGUUGCUUUCCAGAGCUGUCUAGAUUGGCUUGAUGCUGACGAAGCU